GUCCAGACUCCUACGGGAGGCAGCAGUGAGGAAUAUUGGUCAAUGGCCGAGAGGCUGAACCAGCCAAGUCGCGUGAGGGAAGAAUGUCCUAUGGAUUGUAAACCUCUUUUGUCAGGGAGCAAAGUCACCCACGUGUGGGUGUUGGAGAGUACCUGAAGAAAAAGCAUCGGCUAACUCCGUGCCAGCAGCCGCGGUAAUACGUAGGGAGCAAGCGUUAUCCGGAUUUAUUGGGUGUAAAGGGUGCGUAGACGGAGAAGCAAGUUAGUUGUGAAAUCCCUCGGCUUAACUGAGGAACUGCAACUAAAACUACUUCCCUUGAGUACUGGAGAGGAAAGUGGAAUUCCUAGUGUAGCGGUGAAAUGCGUAGAUAUUAGGAGGAACACCAGUGGCGAAGGCGACUUUCUGGACAGUAACUGACGUUGAGGCACGAAAGUGUGGGGAGCAAACAGGAUUAGAUACCCCAGUAU
rnacentral:rRNA from 1 species